UGCGCAGGCUUCUUCCGGUCCCUCAGGGUUUCGGCGGCCGCAGCGGUGGCUGCGGCAGGCGUGACGCCUCCGCGCAUGCGCGGCGGGGACUCCACGUGUGCGCCUGCGUUUCUUCUCCAACCCAGCGAUGCCGCCCGAACGGAGAAACCGUACGAAACCGGACCGGAGAGCCGGCACCAGGCUUGACCGGAAGACUCAAAGAAAGCCAGAUGGGAGAGCCAGACUGGAUAGGGGCGGGUUGCCCCGGAAGGCUGCCCCUUCUUCAUCCCAGCGGACACCUCCGGCCCAGUCGAGCUCGGCGACCGCCCUCGAGGCGGCGGCGGCGGCGGCCGAGGCAGAGCGCCGGCUCCGCCAGCGGAACCGCCAGACUUUAGAGGAGGACAUACCGGCCGAGGAGCGGUGCCUGGAGGAGCUGGUCUUCGGCGACGUGGAGGAAGACGAGGGCGCGCUGCUGCGGCGUCUGCGGGGCUCGCAGACUCAACAUGGUGGAACCUUGGAUGAUUCUGAAGGGGAGAAUGAAGCACAUGAUAAUUUUCCCCCCCAGAAGAAACCAGUUUGGGUGGAUGAAGAAGAUGAAGAUGAAGAAAUGGUUGACAUGAAGAAAAAUCGAUUUCGGAAAGAUAUGAUGAAAAAUGCCACAGAAACUAAACUCUCAAAAGAUAAGCUUCAAAAGAGACUCAAAGAAGAAUUUCAGCAUGCUAUGGGAGGAGUACCUGCAUGGGCAGAGACUAGUAAGCAGAAAACAUCUUCAGAUGAUGAAAGUGAAGAAGAUGAAGAUGAUCUGUUGCAGAGGACUGGGAAUUUCAUAUCCACAUCAACUUCUCUUCCAAGAGGAAUCUUGAAGAUGAAGAACUGCCAGCAUGCCAAUGCUGAACGGCCUACCACUGCUCGGAUUUCUUCAGUUCAGUUCCACCCUUGUGCUCAGGUGGUGAUGGUUGCUGGGUUAGAUAAUUCUAUUUCACUCUUUCAGGUUGAUGGCAAAACAAAUCCUAAAAUCCAGAGCAUCUAUUUGGAUAGGUUUCCAAUCUAUAAGGCUUGUUUUACUGCAAAUGGAGAAGAGGUUUUAGCCACAAGUGUUCACAGCAAAGUUCUUUAUGUCUAUGAUAUGCUAGCUGGAAAGUUAGUUCCUGUGCAUCAAGUGAGAGGUUUGAAAGAGAAAGUAGUGAGACGUUUUGAAAUCUCCCCAGAUGGAUCAUUCUUGCUCAUAAAUGGUAUUGCUGGAUAUUCUCAUUUACUGUCAAUGAAGACCAAGGAGCUGAUUGGUAGCAUGAAGAUUAAUGGAAGAGUAUCAGCAUGCACUUUCUCUUCAGAUAGUAAGAAAAUAUAUACUUCUUCUGGGGAUGGUGAAGUUUAUAUUUGGGAUGUGAACUCUAGGAGGUGCCUUAACAGAUUUGUUGAUGAAGGCAAUUUAUGUGCAUUAAGCAUUGCCACAUCAAGGAAUGGACAGUAUAUUGCUUGUGGUUCUAGUUCUGGAGUGGUAAACAUAUACAAUCAAGAUUCUUGUCUCCAAGAAACUAAUCCAAAGCCAAUAAAAGCUAUAAUGAAUCUGGUUACUGGUGUUACUUCUCUGACCUUCAAUCCCACUACAGAAAUCUUGGCAAUAGCCUCAAGAAAAAUGAAAGAAGCUGUCAGAUUGGUUCAUCUUCCUUCUUGUACAGUAUUUUCUAACUUCCCAGUUGUUAAAAAGAAGACUAUUUCUCGUGCCCAAACCAUGGAUUUUUCUCCCAGAAGUGGAUAUUUUGCUAUAGGGAAUGAGAAAGGCAAAGCCCUGAUGUAUAGGUUGCACCAUUACUCGGACUUCUAAAAAGAGUCUUUGAAGUUGCUGUAUCCUCAGUUAGGGGAGUGGCGUGGAAAUAGAGCAGGAGCUGUAUAGCCGGACCUGAGCCUUCCUUGGGAAUUUCUUACCCAAAUCACAACAAUCUGCCUCUGUUCUUUUGAGAUCCAGUUGAGUCACUGAGGAAGCCUGUUCCAGUAUAGCUCAGAAACUUUGCAGGAUGCGUAUGAAAGAUGAUUUGUGGGGCCAAUUCUGCUUAAGUUAUUAGCAAUCAUGUCUUAAUAAACACAGCAAGUUUUGUUUGACAAUAA